GGUGGCUCAGUGGUAGGGCGCUUGCCUUGCAUGCAUAAGGCCCUGGGUUCAAUUCCUCAGCACCA
rnacentral:tRNA from 1 species